UACGGAGGGUGCAAGCGUUAUCCGGAUUCACUGGGUUUAAAGGGUGCGUAGGUGGGUUGGUAAGUCAGUGGUGAAAUCUCCGGGCUCAACCCGGAAACUGCCAUUGAUACUAUCUGUCUUGAAUAUUGUUGAGGUAGGCGGAAUAUAUCAUGUAGCGGUGAAAUGCAUAGAUAUGAUAUAGAACACCGAUUGCGAAGGCAGCUUACUAAACAAUUAUUGACGCUGAGGCACGAAAGCGUGGGGAUCAAACAGG
rnacentral:rRNA from 1 species